UGGCUCUGGAGAAGCCCGGCAACGGGUACCGAAGGUGCAAGGCGGCGUCAGCCGCUGAAUCUCUCAGGUAAAAGGACAGAGUAGG
rnacentral:ncRNA from 1 species